rnacentral:SRP_RNA from 2 species
ACAAGGGCAAGUUUGCACUUCGAACCGUGUCAGGGUCGGAAGGCAGCAGCACUAAGGAGAUCGUGGACUGUGCCUUAUAUAU